rnacentral:rRNA from 1 species
GUGCCAGCAGCCGCGGUAAUACGUAGGCAGCAAGCGUUGUUCGGAAUUACUGGGCGUAAAGAGUGUGUAGGUGGUGUCGUAAGUUUGGUGUGAAAUCUCCCGGCUUAACUGGGAGGGUGCGCCGAAGACUGCGAUGCUGGAGUAUGGGAGAGGAAAGCGGAAUUCCUGGUGUAGCGGUGAAAUGCGUAGAUAUCAGGAGGAACACCUGCGGUGUAGACGGCUUUCUGGACCAUUACUGACACUGAGACACGAAAGCGUGGGUAGCAAACAGGAUUAGAUACCCUGGUAGUCC